rnacentral:rRNA from 1 species
CAGCCGCCGCGGUAAUACGAAGGGGGCUAGCGUUGUUCGGAUUUACUGGGCGUAAAGGGCGCGUAGGCGGACUGAUAAGUCAGGGGUGAAAUCCCAAGGCUCAACCUUGGAACUGCCUUUGAUACUGUCUGUCUUGAGUUCGAGAGAGGUAAGUGGAACUGCGAGUGUAGAGGUGAAAUUCGUAGAUAUUCGCAAGAACACCAGUGGCGAAGGCGGCUUACUGGCUCGAAACUGACGCUGAGGCGCGAAAGCGUGGGGAGCAAACAGGAUUAGAGACCCCUGUAGUCCCUGUCUCUUAUAC